rnacentral:rRNA from 1 species
UACGUAGGGACCAAGCGUUGUUCGGAUUUACUGGGCGUAAAGGGCGCGUAGGCGGCAAUUCAAGUCAUCUGUGAAAUCUCCGGGCUUAACUCGGAACGGUCAGAUGAUACUGCUUUGCUAGAGUGCGGAAGGGGCAAUCGGAAUUCUCGGUGUAGCGGUGAAAUGCGUAGAUAUCUGGAGGAACACCGGUGGCGAAGGCGGCAUCCUGGACCAAUUCUGACACUGAGGAGCGAAAGCCAGGGGAGCAAACGGG